UCUAGAACUCAAGAUAUGAGCUGAAAACCGAACAGUGUUUGAGCUGCAGGACAGGUUCCUACUUCUCCAUUGUUGCUAAGAUUUGAACUUGCAAACGGCAGAAUUGAGUCUUGAAAUCCCAUGCAAGUUUUAGGUCUAUGUCUUAUCUUUCCAUC
rnacentral:pre_miRNA from 1 species